rnacentral:rRNA from 1 species
GACGAACGCUGGCGGCGUGCCUAAUACAUGCAAGUCGAGCGAAGUUUUUCUGGUGCUUGCACUAGAAAAACUUAGCGGCGAACGGGUGAGUAACACGUAAAGAACCUGCCUCAUAGACUGGGACAACUAUUGGAAACGAUAGCUAAUACCGGAUAACAGUAUUUCUCGCAUGAGAGAGAUUUAAAAGUUGGUUAUGCUAACACUAUGAGAUGGCUUUGCGGUGCAUUAGCUAGUUGGUGGGGUAAAGGCCCACCAAGGCGACGAUGCAUAGCCGACCUGAGAGGGUGAUCGGCCACACUGGGACUGAGACACGGCCCAGACUCCUACGGGAGGCAGCAGUAGGGAAUCUUCCGCAAUGGGCGAAAGCCUGACGGAGCAACGCCGCGUGAGUGAAGAAGGAUUUCGGUUCGUAAAGCUCUGUUGUUAGGGAAGAAUGGAUAUGUAGUAACUAUACAUGUAAGAGACGGUACCUAACCAGAAAGCCACGGCUAACUACGUG